AACGAACGCUGGCGGCAGGCUUAACACAUGCAAGUCGAGCGCCCCGCAAGGGGAGCGGCAGACGGGUGAGUAACGCGUGGGAAUCUACCCAUCUCUACGGAAUAACGCAUGGAAACGUAUGCUAAUACCGUAUACGUCCUUCGGGAGAAGGAUUUAUCGGAGAUGGAUGAGCUCGCGUUGGAUUAGCUAGUUGGUGGGGUAAAGGCCUACCAAGGCGACGAUCCAUAGCUGGUCUGAGAGGAUGAUCAGCCACACUGGGACUGAGACACGGCCCAGACUCCUACGGGAGGCAGCAGUGGGGAAUAUUGGACAAUGGGCGCAAGCCUGAUCCAGCCAUGCCGCGUGAGUGAUGAAGGCCCUAGGGUUGUAAAGCUCUUUCACCGGUGAAGAUAAUGACGGUAACCGGAGAAGAAGCCCCGGCUAACUUCGUGCCAGCCGCCGCCGUAAGAC
rnacentral:rRNA from 1 species